rnacentral:rRNA from 1 species
AGGGGAAACUGUCUCAUAACUCGAUAAUCACGAAAACCUUACCCUCUCUAGACCAAACAGCUUGUGUACUGCCGUCGUAAGCACACCUCUAAAAGCACAAGUAUGCAAUUAUGACAAACCUCAUAUACGUCAGGUCAAAGUGCAGCUUAUGAAAGGGCGACGAUGGGUUACACCCUAGAUAAAGAUACAGAAUAUGAUACUAAAAGUCAUAUAAAGGUGGACUUGGACGUAACAAAGAUGCUAAAUCAAAAUGAAGCCGAAUCUGAGACAUGUACACAUCGCCCGUCACUCUUGCCCAAAGGUGAGAUAAGUCGUAACAAAGUAGGUGUAACGGAAGUUGCACCUGU